UCUGAAUUCUGGAAUAGUUUGGAUGAUGAUUUAAAAGGCUCCACCUCGAUAACCUCAUUUAAGAACCGCCUCGAAAAAACUGAAUUGUAAUGACUUGUUUGUUCUGUCUAGUUAUUUUCAUUUGUAAUUUAAUUAUUUUUAGUAUAUGUUUACUUGUCCGAGGACCCCUCUGUAAACCACUACUUGUGAAGUUGGUAUCCUCAUUAAAAAUUAUGUUCAUUCAUUCAUUCAU